CAGAGUAAGUCCCCAAGAUACAUGGUCCAAAAAAAAUACUGACAUCAUACUCAGUUGUGAUUCUUUGCCUUCUCUUUCUAAGAGAACUUCAGCUGCACGUUGGAUGGAAAACUGUACAAAACUAGGGAGACAGAGGAAAAACACCGCUUGUUAAUAUUCACUGCUAGAUUCUGUAGAGGAAUCACUUGAUUUUACAGAUACAACUAGCUUAAGUAGAUCUAAAAGUCAUGUAGCUACAAAGCUGACUUGCACACUAAAAGCUAAUAAAGGGAAAUGCAGCUUUCCCAGGGUAGGUUCUUGGCACUUCUCUGCAAAUAGGUAAAAGGGAAUGGCAGAUAUUCAAGCUUAGGGAACAAGCAGCAAGGACAGAGCCUUCCCCUGUCUCUGUGUGUUGAAGUCAGCAGAUAGCACACCUGCUGCUGCUUGAGUUCCUUCUGCCAAGCAGAGUAGCACAGCUGGAAGACACUCUGCGCCUGGCUCUGAGCUUUGCCUGUCUUCAGGGAUGGAGCCCCUCCCAAGGCAAGUUCAACCGGGUUCUUUGGCAGCCGAAGUCUACACGGACCCUGCAGGGAGUGGAGGAGAAAAUAUCUCAUCAAAUAAGGAAGACUUUAUGAGCAGAAAAUUAUCAAAAUACUGAACAGACUGCACUGAAGAAGCAAAACCCAAAGGUGUUCAAAAAGCCCUUGCAGGUAAGCCACAUAUGGGUAUCCUUUCCAGGUAAUUCAUGCCUCACUACCCUCUGGAGCGUCCACACUGGCUCUACUUUUUCUCCAUGUUCAGCCAUCAGGACUAUUUCCAGCCAAUCUCCUGUCUUUAUAUUUUGCAGAAUAAUUUGUGGUGUAAAAAGUAGAGACUUUGGAAUAAAGCAGACCUGGGCACCACUUAUUAACACCUUCAACUUCCACAGACUUCUGUAUCUCCCCAAACAUCUGUUUUUUCACUUCUGAAACAAGGACAGAAAUUCAAGGGAUGUUGGGAAGUGAAAUAUCCACAGGACUCACCAAGAGAAAAGACCAAGUGAGGACACAGUGAGAGGGAGGCCAUAUGCAAAGCAGAAGGGAAUACCUCACCAGAACCAAAACCCAACCCUGCUGGCACCCUCAUCUUGGACUUCUAGCCUUUCUCAGAACUGUGAGAAAACAAAUUUCUGGUGUUUCAGUCA